rnacentral:rRNA from 1 species
AAGUCGUAACAAGGUCUCCGUUGGUGAACCAGCGGAGGGAUCAUUAUGGAGUCUCUAACUCCUAAACCAUUUGUGAACCUACUUGUUUUACUAUUGCUUCGGCGAGUUGCUACCAGCCUCUUUUGAGACUGUGGGCAGCUCGUCGGAGGUGCUCAAAACUCUAGUUGUUGGUUGUUUCUCUGAGUCUCUUAAAACAAGUCAAAACUUUCAACAACGGAUCUCUUGGUUCUGGCAUCGAUGAAGAACGCAGCGAAAUGCGAUAAGUAAUGCGAAUUGCAGAAUUUAGUGAGUCAUCGAAUCUUUGAACGCACAUUGCGCCUGCCAGCACUCUGGCGGGCAUGCCUGCUCGAGCGUCAUUUUAACCGCUAGGCUCUCUAAUUGGUUGGGCCUGUGUUGGGGCCCUGCAGAUGCCUGCAGGCUCUGAAAACUAGUGGCAGACUCGCAGUUGCCCCUCAGCGUAGUAAUAUUUAUCUCGCUUGUGGCGGCGCCUCGAGGCUCCUGGCCAUUAAAACUGGCAGCUAUGUCUCCCAAAAAGUUGACCUCGGAUUAGGUAGGAGGACCCGCUGAACUUAA